rnacentral:rRNA from 1 species
GACGAACGCUGGCGGCGUGCUUAACACAUGCAAGUCGAACGGAAAGGCCCUGCUUUUGUGGGGUGCUCGAGUGGCGAACGGGUGAGUAACACGUGAGUAACCUGCCCUUGACUUUGGGAUAACUUCAGGAAACUGGGGCUAAUACCGGAUAGGAGCUCCUGCUGCAUGGUGGGAGUUGGAAAGUUUCGGCGGUUGGGGAUGGACUCGCGGCUUAUCAGCUUGUUGGUGGGGUAGUGGCUUACCAAGGCUUUGACGGGUAGCCGGCCUGAGAGGGUGACCGGCUACAUUGGGACUGAGAUACGGCCCAGACUCCUACGGGAGGCAGCAGUGGGGAAUAUUGCACAAUGGGCGGAAGCCUGAUGCAGCAACGCCGCGUGCGGGAUGACGGCCUUCGGGUUGUAAACCGCUUUCGCCUGUGACGAAGCGUGAGUGACGGUAAUGGGUAAAGAAGCACCGGCUAACUACGUG